rnacentral:tRNA from 1 species
GCGGGAGUGGCUCAGUUGGUAGAGCGUCACCUUGCCAAGGUGAAUGUCGCGAGUUCGAGUCUCGUCUCCCGCUCCA